CAUGCAUGUGUCCACGGUACAACAAGAAACGGGAACUUCUCAUCUCUCUAUUCUUCUUCUCAAUCUCACGACUCGAUUCACGUCAAAGAAUAAUGUGAUGUGUCGAAGCAAGACGUGAAUUUGAACGUGAAGUCUUAUUAUUCAGCUGGCGAAAAUCUUUUUUAAUGGUGUUGGAACCCACUUUCAUGUAUGAGUCCCUGUAAAGAACCAAGAUGACCAGUUUUGGAGUGAAGUGGAAAGUCCAUAUGGCCGUAAGCAGCAAUGAAGUGCGCAGUCUUAACGCUCCCUUAGUGGCCAUGUCCCUGACAACUACUAACGAGAAGGGGCAAAAAGAAACCAAAGUUGUGGAAAUGAAACUGGAACAGUUUAGGAGCAUGCUGAGCUCUCUUGAAGAAAUUCAAACUGAGAUGGAGAAUGCAAAGCUGGUUCAUUGACAGUCACUUUCAAGAAACAUGUUGCCCCCGGUCGUUAUUUUAACUCCUAUUUUACUCAAGUUUUUUUUACUAUCCCAGCCAUUUUAAUGCCAUAUUCUAAAAUAUGAUGUCUUGUGUGCAAAAGGCUUUGCAUUGAUGUUGAGUAAAUGUAGUAGCUGCAUUUUAUGUUUGUGAGUGUGUGUGUGUGUGUGUGUGUGUGUGUGUGUGUGUGCGUGUGUUUGAGAGAGGCUGCACGUUUAUUCAUCUUGUGGCAUUUAUUGUCAAUGAAUGUGAAAGUUUUUGUAAAAAAAAAAAAAGUACUAUUAAGCUGUCGUAAAGUUUUUAUACCAAAGUACCAAAAUGAGUGGAAUGCACGGUAUAUGAUGUGACAGUACGUUAUUUUUGGUCUUUUUGUUUUUGCCUAAUAGUUUUUGCUGUAGUUGACCCAGUUUCUGUUCUCCUGUCGUAGCGGAAUGUAAAGGAAAAGUACCGGUGAUGAUAACAGUCUUUAGUAGACAUUCGGGUUUGAUUUGCUCCUUCUUUCUUACCAGACUUCUAUUAGCCUUACCCCUUUUCUUUCUUUCUUUCUUUCUUUCUUUCUUUCUUCGUAGGCUAUUCUCUAGUACAGCAUCUCUAAUCUUCAGUACUUGUAAAAACCUGUUUGUGUUGCAAGUGAGGUAGAAGCUAAUACUAAAACCUGAAGAAUGAAAACAUUUAAUUGUAGUACAAUGCGUGUGAAGCACUCAAAAGGAAGUUCUCACCUAAACUUCUGUUUUGAGUGCUUAACAUACUAUUUGUUUAGUAUUCAUUUAUUUAUUUAUUUAUUCUUCUAAUUUUUUUCUUCCGUGGAAGAUAUUAUCCUGAUUUCAACCAGCUGUCAAUCAAUACUCAGCAGUUCCAGCUGCCAUUUCAUUUUCAUAAAUCUAAAAUAUGACAUAUAAUAUUCAUAGAGUUCUGGGAUGCUGAUCAAUAGCAAUUUACUUUUUAUGUGUGUGCGUUUGCACUAAUGAUGACUGCAAGAUUAUUAGUAAUAUUAGUUUUCUUGAACAAUUUUUGUCUUGAAUAUUAUGUUGUGUAUCAAGUAGUGGGUUAAGUUGAUUCUGUCCAGCAGUAGGACUUUCCAAACUAUUGUAAAGAAUGCAGUUUUUUCACAGAUAGGAAUGUUGUUGUCAAUGAAAUUGAGAUUUAUAAGGGACUAGGACAAAAUGAGUCUGUUGUCACAUUUUCAUUUAUGAUUUUAUGUGAAGAAUCUUUUCAAUCCUGACAAAUUCGUGUAAAAGUAGAUUGAUUAGUUUGACCUCUUUGGUUCCACACCUCGGGUGACUGACGUUAAUAAAGAGUCCCUAAAGGACUGCUUAGGGAAAAGCAAGGCAGACAAAGAAAAACCAGUCCACGGAGUUCAUGUUUUGAAUUUUUAAAAAACUGUUUAGUGAUUAGAAUAGAGAAAAGAAAUGGAAGAGUUUACGUAUUUUGUCAAAAAGGGGCACCGAUAAAUUUUACUUCAGCUUCAAAUUUUAGCCAGUAUAUCUACAACUGAAUGUGACAAAUUACUCUUUUUAUCAUCCGGUCUCAGAUGUUUUUGGAGAAAUAUUACUCACGAGAAUAUGAAAAGAAUUGCCUAUUUAAUUUAUUUCAGAAAUGUUUAUUAUUUGGAACUCAGACAUAUAUAUGGUAAGUUUGAUUUGGGUCCAUUAUUAGCUUCAUUGGUAUCAUGCUAGACUGUGAAGAGGAUGGCACUGGUUUGAAUCCCCAGUUGGGCAUUUUGAACUUGAUUUUUUUGGGGAGAGCUUUUUAACACUUUGCAUCACAUCUCGCCUCCGAUCAGCGGUAUUACCCGCCCCUUAAAUAACCUAUUAGUGUUGAUAGGGAUGUUAAGCCUAUACCAUUUUUUUCAGCGAUAUUUACCACUCAGUUUCUUUCGAUUUCCCCCCAAAUGCCUUUUGCCUUUGAUGGCAAGGGUUUUUACUAUAAUAUAUGAGCCUUGUGAUGGAAAAGUGUGAAGGCUCUGUGCCCAUUUUGUUUGAUCCUAUCGGAGAUGGAUGUAAAGUUCACAGGUCACGGCUCUUAAAUGAUCUUACAGUGUGGUAAGAGGCUUUAAACCUAUAGUACAAUGUCCAAUGCAUUUUGAUAGGGUUGAGGUACACACCCACUGUUCAUGUAAAGAUCUGACUUUAUGAUGUGUAGGCAAAUUUCCAGCUGUACCGGUAUCUUAUAAUAUUGUCAUUCAUUUUUCUCUCGAUUUCACAUUCAAGACAAGGCUGCAUGUAGUCAGGAUACGUGGACCAGAAAGCUUUACAAUGGAGUCAGCUUAAACUGAAAUCUAAGGGUCUUCCUGAUUUUCUUUUGUUUAGCUGGGUAUUCGUUUUGAGAGGCUGCUCAAAUAGAAAAAAGAAUCUCUGUUAGUUUCUUUUCUUUCAGUUUACAGCUGUUUUUUGGAUUAAUCGUGUUUAGUUUAAGAGGACUCUACCAUACAAAGGGCCAGUACUUUCAGUAUUUGCAAAUGUCGGUUGAAUGUUUUUCCUGUUGUAUCCAUACUGGAUAUUAUGUGAAGGCUGGCAGUACGCUACUGCAAAAGUAGAUACAUACUAUAAUAUGAUAUAAGCAAUCGGGAUUGAGGAGGUAAUAUAAAGGCUAUCUGUAUGCUACUGCUAAGGUAGAUAUAAGCCUUGGGGAUUGAGGAGGUGAAGUAUCUUAUUUAAGCCGUUCGUGUGAGUCAUUGUGAAGUUAUGUGGGCCUUUUUUUUUUCUUUUUUUUUUUUUUGAAGGAUGGCUUUCAAUGUUCAUUUUAACUUUUCAAGUCAUAUGGAUCUCAUCUUUUUUUUAUUUGUUGUAUUCAAGAUCUGGUAAUUAUCAACUAACCUUUGAGUGAUUUAAAAAAAACAGUCAGUGUGGAUAGAAAUGAUUAGGAAGAAGUGAUCUGAUUGUCCAUGAUCUAUUGUCCACGUGGCUAUUUUUUAUUCCUAUCACUAAGUGAUAGACUUUUCCACUCCAGUUGUACCGACCUUUUUCUUUUUCCCUUCAGUAACAAAUAUGAUUAGGAAAAGGGAACUUUAUAUUGUAGCUUGCUUACAAUAAAAUUUGAAAAAAAA